rnacentral:rRNA from 1 species
AUACGGAGGGUGCAAGCGUUGUUCGGAUUUACUGGGCGUAAAGGGCGUGUAGGCGGAUAUGCAAGCUGGAGGUGAAAGACCCGGGCUCAACCCGGGAAGUGCUUUGUAGAACUGCAUAUCUAGAGAAAGUCAGAGGCAGGUGGAAUUCCAGGUGUAGAGGUGAAAUUCGUAGAGAUCUGGAGGAACACCGGCGGCGAAGGCGGCCUGCUGGGGCUUUUCUGACGCUGAGGCGCGAAAGCGUGGGGAGCAAACAGGAUUAGAAACCCCAGUAGUCC